rnacentral:tRNA from 1 species
AUUAAUGUGGCAGACAAAAUGCGUUAGGUUUAAGCCCUAUUUAUAAGAAUUUUAUAUCUUCAUUAAUA